GCCAAAUUUGGGGGGCGCAAGGAGCAGGGAAGAUCCGGGGCGACCACCACGGUGGGGCGCUACGUCCGUGAAGGCAGGACGAGCAGCAUCAGCAGACCUUGGAGACGACAAAGGGAAGGUCUCUCCCAUCUCAUAUGGGCCGCCAACCAAUGUCAUCUCUCUGUGCCAUCCCCAAAUUUUUGGAAAGUCUGAUGAUGUUUGAUGCACCAGAGGAAGAUUAGGAGAGAUAUUUUAUAAUUUGCCACAAUUACUUAGUAAAAGCCCAAGUAUAGGGCCGUUAAUUUGAAGCAGAGUCAGCAGACGUAACCGUCAGCUAGGCGGCGGAGUGGACCAACUAUAUUGCUGCCACUACACAGGCAGAAAGGUAAGUUUUUAGCCCUAUCGGUUCGAGCUGAAUGAAGGGAUGGAGGUCUGGUCUGCAACGCCACAAACGGCACCACAAAAGGGACACCAGAAGAGCAGUCAUGGAUACAACCUUGGUGAAGGAUCUGUCACCUCGAGGGUUUCAAUGGAAGACCAUUGUGUGUGUCGCUCGAAUCUGGGAACAUAGGGAUCAAGCAACCUGGCAAAAUUUGUUUGAGGUGGACUUCAUUGUCAUUGACCAAGAGGCAUGGUGCACCUGCUGUCCUUAUAUUUCGAGUGAAUGGCUUUGUGCAGUAUAGUAAAGGGAUGUUAAACUUUUUUCUGUUGUACGAUCAUUUAGUAUCGAAAUUAAAUUUCCCUAGACAAUUAUACAUUCAAAAAUUGAAUGAUGUUUCAGGGCAACAAAAUGGAAGGCUGCAUCCCAGCCAAUCGAAUUGACCAGUUCAGAGAUAAAAUAAAGUAAGGUUCGAUACUAUUUUUCCCUUGGAUUCAUUCCAUGUUUGCUAUCCCACAGUACUGCCAAACACACAAGAAAGUUUGUCGCGUCUGUCCUGGUGGUGUUGAUCUCUUUCAGUUCUUCAUUGUUGUGCGCCGUGUCAAAUUGGAAAACCUGGUUAGUUUGUUUCUUGUGCAUCAGUGAACUAACUUGUCUUUUACUUCUUGACUCUUGAGGCUGCAGUUAAUAUGAAUUGAUUUAUUUUCGUCUCAAACCAU